rnacentral:rRNA from 1 species
AUUGAACGCUGGCGGCAUGCCUUACACAUGCAAGUCGAACGGCAGCACGGGUGCUUGCACCUGGUGGCGAGUGGCGAACGGGUGAGUAAUACAUCGGAACGUACCUUAUCGUGGGGGAUAACGCAGCGAAAGCUGUGCUAAUACCGCAUACGCCCUGAGGGGGAAAGCGGGGGAUCGAAAGACCUCGCGCGAUUCGAGCGGCCGAUGCCUGAUUAGCUUGUUGGUGGGGUAAAAGCCCACCAAGGCGACGAUCAGUAGCUGGUCUGAGGGGACGAUCAGCGACACUGGGACGGAGACACGGCCCUGACUCCUACGGGAGGAAGCAGUGGGGAAUUUCGGACAAUGGGGGCAACCCUGAUGCAGCAAUGCCGCGUGAGUGAGGAAGGCCUUCGGGUUGUAAAGCUCUUUUGUCGGGGAAGAAACACCGGCUCUAACACAGUCCGGGAAUGACGGUACCUGAAGAAUAAGCACCGGCUAACUACGUGCCAGCAGCCGCGGUAA